UCGCGGCUUAUCACCGGCAGUCCCUCUAGAGUGCCCAACUAAAUGAUGGCAACUAGAGGCGAGGGUUGCGCUCGUUGCGGGACUUAACCCAACAUUUCACAACACGAGCUGACGACAGCCAUGCACCACCUGUGAAUCACCCUCGAAGGCGACUACUUUUCGGUAGCUUGCAGAUCCAUGUCAAGCCCUGGUAAGGUUCUUCGCGUUGCAUCGAAUUAAACCACAUGCUCCACCGCUUGUGCGGGUCCCCGUCAAUUCCUUUGAGUUUCACACUUGCGUGCGUACUCCCCAGGCGGAAUGCUUAAAGCGCUAGCGACGGCACCCGGGGACUUUAUUACCCCGGACACCAAGCAUUCAUCGUUUAAGGCCAGGACUAC
rnacentral:misc_RNA from 1 species